CAGCCGCCACGGUAACACGUAGGGUGCGAGCGUUAAUCGGAAUUACUGGGCGUAAAGCGUGCGCAGGCGGUUGUGUAAGACAGGUGUGAAAUCCCCGGGCUUAACCUGGGAACUGCGCUUGUGACUGCACAGCUAGAGUAUGGCAGAGGGGGGUGGAAUUCCACGUGUAGCAGUGAAAUGCGUAGAGAUGUGGAGGAACACCGAUGGCGAAGGCAGCCCCCUGGGCCAAUACUGACGCUCAUGCACGAAAGCGUGGGGAGCAAACAGGAUUAGAUACCCCUGUAGUCCCUGUCUCUUAUAC
rnacentral:rRNA from 1 species